rnacentral:misc_RNA from 1 species
UUAAGUUCAGCGGGUUUUCUUGCCCGAUUUCAGACCAAGUUAUCAAGCAGCAAACCAAAAUAGUUUGACACUUGUUGAUAGUUGGAGCACAUGUUCCAUCAGUAUCAAAAUAAAUUGCCAAAAGCGAAUGGAGUUUCCUCUGUUGCACUUUUGAUAACCAAUUUUGUCCUAUUGGCGCACAUACAAUCUUUUUCUGGUGA